rnacentral:rRNA from 1 species
AUUGAACGCUGGCGGCAUGCCUUACACAUGCAAGUCGAACGGUAACAGGUCUUCGGAUGCUGACGAGUGGCGAACGGGUGAGUAAUACAUCGGAACGUGCCUAGUAGUGGGGGAUAACUACUCGAAAGAGUGGCUAAUACCGCAUGAGAUCUACGGAUGAAAGCCGGGGAUCGCAAGACCUUGUGCUACUAGAGCGGCCGAUGGCAGAUAAGGUAGUUGGUGGGAUAAAAGCUUACCAAGCCGACGAUCUGUAGCUGGUCUGAGAGGACGAUCAGCCACACUGGGACUGAGACACGGCCCAGACUCCUACGGGAGGCAGCAGUUGGGAAUUUUGGACAAUGGGCGCAAGCCUGAUCCAGCAAUGCCGCGUGCAGGAUGAAGGCCUUCGGGUUGUAAACUGCUUUUGUACGGAACGAAAAGCCCUGGGUUAAUACCCUGGGGUCAUGACGGUACCGUAAGAAUAAGCACCGGCUAACUACGUGCCAGCCGCCGCCGUAACAC